rfam:Brassica oleracea var. oleracea cultivar TO1000 chromosome C3, whole genome shotgun sequence
AACCUAUGGUGGGAGCAGUCUCUGCGGUAGUUGUUGAAACGCUCCCAUGCAUCACAGAAGGGCUCGUCAUGGAUCUGCUUGAACGUGGAGAUUUUGUUCCUCAAGGCU